CCCGUCCAUUGUCAUUUAAUUUCUCUUCCUCCAACCAUUUUAGCUUGCAGUGCAGAAUAUCAUAAACUAUGUGAGUUUGCACCGACGAAAACAGUCAACAUAUUCUUUCAUGUAAUAACUUGGCCUCGUAAAGGUUGCCAGCCAGUAUAGUGGUUUCAAAACCAAUACGAUUACAAUGACAAAACCAUCUGUCUAUACCGUGGCUAAGUGAUGAGUUUGUGCAUGAGAAACGACGAUGCCCUAACUGAGCUUGAAAGUAAGAAAAACGAUCAUCUGGACAAGCGAUUGCUUCUCGGACGCUGCAGCGUAUACGGUACAGGCUGUACUGUGAAUUUCCCCAAAGCGUCGAAGAAAAAAAAUUGUCCAACAACUAAGAACGGUCCUAAGCAUUUCGCACCCUGAAGAUAGUAGGAUUCACCUACCGCCCAGCAAUGAAUAACCAGUUACUAAUUUCAAACGUUCUCAGCAGCAAUACAUAGACUUGAACUUUACUCCAAGAUACUGACUAAGGAUUUGCAUGGCUACGCUCUAACGCAUCGAAAUGACACCUAUUCUAUGGAAUAGAUUUUUAUCGCACUUUUAGGAACUCUUAAAUCAAGUAACCGAGCUAGCACGUUUGCCAUAGAUGUACGCACAAAAGACGCCAGUAAAUUUCUUCAACGACAUCUUCGUCUUCAUACCAUGAGACCUUUAAAAGUUACAGAUGGAGAACACCAUUUCCUGAUUUCGUUCAAAAAUUACGCCUGUGUAAGACUUCCUUUUUUUGAGAUCUGUUGGCAUAUACAAGAAAUUACAGCAAGCAUAUGCCGCAUAUGCACCCGGGGAAAUAUGAGUAGAAAUAAUAAAAAAACAGGAAGCUA